UACGUAGGGUGCGAGCGUUAAUCGGAAUUACUGGGCGUAAAGCGUGCGCAGGCGGUUCGUUGUGUCGGUGGUGAAAUCCCCGGGCUUAACCUGGGAAUGGCCAUGGAAACUGGCGAACUGGAGUGUGGCAGAGGGGGGUGGAAUUCCGCGUGUAGCAGUGAAAUGCGUAGAGAUGCGGAGGAACACCGAUGGCGAAGGCAGCCCCCCUGGGCUAGCACUGACGCUCAGGCACGAAAGCGUGGGGAGCAAACAGGAUUAGAUACCCCCGGUGUCAG
rnacentral:rRNA from 1 species